rnacentral:rRNA from 1 species
CAAGGUUGACCUCGGAUCAGGUAGGAAUACCC